rnacentral:rRNA from 1 species
UAGAGUUUGAUCAUGGCUCAGAACGAACGCUGGCGGCAGGCUUAACACAUGCAAGUCGARCGCYCCGCAAGGGGAGUCGGCAGACGGGUGAGUAACAGCGUGGGAAUCUACCCUUUUCUACGGAAYAACGCAKGGAAACKUGUGCUAAUACCGUAUGUGYCCUUYGGGGUGAAAGAUUUAUCGGKAAAGGAUGRGCCCGCGUUGGAUUAGCUAGUUGGUGGGGUAAAGGCCUACCAAGGCGACGAUCCAUAGCUGGUCUGAGAGGAUGAUCAGCCACAUUGGGACUGAGACACGGCCCAAACUCCUACGGGAGGCAGCAGUGGGGAAUAUUGGACAAUGGGCGCAAGCCUGAUCCAGCCAUGCCGCGUGAGUGAUGAAGGCCCUAGGGUUGUAAAGCUCUUUCACCGGAGAAGAUAAUGACGGUAUCCGGAGAAGAAGCCCCGGCUAACUUCGUGCCAGCAGCCGCGGU